CGAGCCGGGCCGCAAAGCCAUGCUUGCACGCACUCACACAGCGCCCCCUGGUGGCUGGGAGGAGCGCCGGGGGGUGGCGAUAGUGCGUGACAGUGGGCGACAGUGCGCGACAGUGCGACACCCAUUUUCCAUCCUGUGGCUUGUAAAGUCCAAGAGGUCCAGAAAAAGCUUUGAAGAACGGAACUGACUAAGCAGUAGCACACAAUCACCAGGAGGUCACAGACCGAGAAACACUCAGCCAGAGCGAAGAUGGAAGAAGUAGUGGGUGGUAGCACUCCACCACGGGUGUCCAAAAGUCACCAGCAAAGACAAGAAAAGCUCACAGAACUGAAAAGCAGGCAGAUGGUUAUGAACGUGUCUUAAGAUACUUCUCCGGCCUGAAAUCUCCAGUGAUUGACUCUUUCCAUGGCUGCGCUCUUAUAUCUGCCUUCAGCUGCUGUGUCUGAAGCAAACUGACACAAAAGCAGAGAACCGGCUAUCCUCUCCACACAGCACCUUGCAUGAGAGAAUUCAGGUCUGACUGCGCCUACGAUGACAGUUAGGAUACAAAUCGCUAUUGUUAAUACUCAGCUUGC